rnacentral:lncRNA from 1 species
GAUAUUUCCCAUAAGGUGGGUGUGUGUUAUGUGGUAUUAAGUUCUGUUCCUUGUUACACAAAGUCAUUUAAAAAAUGUUCUUAAAUCACUUUCCUUUGUCAUUUAAUUUUCCUCUCAGCAAUUAGGAGAUUGUUAUAGAGUUCAAGAAUAUUUACUUCUCUAUAUUUCUUUUUCUCUUGUUGGGUUUAGGGUUGAGGACCAAAUGAUGAGAACCAAGCUGUACAAGCAGUAACAAUUUACUUACCUCAGAUUUUUUAAUAUGGUUUAGUUUUAUUUUAUUAGAUAUUUUAUCAUUUACAUUUCAAAUGCUAUCUCCAAAUCCCCCUAUACCCUUCCCUGCCCUGCUCCCCAAUCCACCCACUCUUGCUUCCUGGCCCUGGCAUUCCCCUGUACUGGGGCAUAUGAUCUUCGCAAGACCAAGGGCCUCUCCUCCCAUUGAUGGCUGACUAGGCCAUCUUCUGCUACAUAUGCAGCUAGAGACACAACACUGGGGGUACUGGUUAGUUCAUACUGUUAUUCCUCCUAUAGGGUUGCAGAUCCCUUCAGCUCCUUGGGUACUUUUUCGAGCUCCUUCAUUAGGGGCCCUGUGUUCCAUCCAAUAGAUGACUGUGAGCAUCCACUUCUGUAUUUGUCAGGCAUUGGCAUAGCCUCACAAGAGAGAGCUAUGUCAGGGUCCUGUCAGCAAAAUCUUUCUGGUAUAUGCAAUAGUGUCUGAGUUUGUAUAUGGGAUGAAUCCAGACUUGGGAUUCAGAACCAGGACCACAAGCAAGGUCGUUUAAAGAAAAACAACAACAAAAACCCCAAACAAACAAAAUCCAAACACACACACACACACACACAAACACACACACACACACACACACACACACACACACACACACACACACACACAACGGGGGUGGCAAGGCAGUAGCAGCAACUUGUCCUUUAUGAGGAUUGACUGUGUCUGCCAGCAAGGAACUGAUUGACCCCGAUAGCUCUUGUUGUUUACCCAGGAAGGGUAUGUGGGGAAGGAAAGGACAAGUUGUUUAGUAGCUAAGUAAAUCAGAGCCCAAAUGGGGAAGUUUAAGACAAAAUGGAGUUACCUUGGUCAUUUCACUACCAUAAAACAUUUUAUGCAUUGAUAUAUAUUUUCUCUGAUAUUUAGUCUCUAGUAGCAUCAACUUUAAGGCAACAUGGGCAUGUGUGUAUAUGUUUUUAUGUAUAUAACUUUUUGUAUAUUGAAUAUUAUUAUUUCUUUGAUUUUGGCAGUUUAUAGUAUUCCUCUGCAUUCUGUGCCUUUCAUAUAUGCUUUAAAAUUUGGUGAUAUGCAUUGCCAGUAUGCUAUUUAAUAAUUUACCUAACUACAAUGCUCUUUAUUGACAUUUUAAUUAAUUUGAAAUUUUAUAUGUCCUUUGAAUACUUUUUGUAUUUGUAAAACUUGCCUUUUAUUCUUCAAUAAACAUAUUCCAUUUCUGGUUAUAUUUUGAAUUUUAUAUCUAUUGAUCUUUUCAUUCAUUUAUUUUUCUCUCCUUGAGUUAAAUAUUACUUUGUUUUCAGUUAUUUUUUUAUUAAAAGUUAAAUAUAUCUUGAUAUUAUAUCAACUCUACUCCAGAUUUUAUUAUUUUAAGUAUUAGUGAGAAAUUAUGAUUUUUUCACUAAUUUCUUAUUUAAUAUCAUUUGGAUUAUUGAUUAUUUUAUUAAUUAAGUUAAUUUAUCCUUGGAAGGGCUAAUUUUCAUGUGUUUUCUAGACAUGGCCUCUAAUGUGUACUUUAAUCAAGGUUACUGAUAUUGCCAACUCUCUAAGAUUUAUUUUAUGUAGAUUGUCUUAGUUUCCUUUCCUGUUGUUAUGAUAACAUAUCCAGAAAAAGGAAAGUUAAAGGGAAAAGUGCUUUCUUUGGCUCAGUGAUAGUCGAUCAUAGGGCAAUCACAGUGGCAGGGACUUUAGAGAAAGCACUAAAGAGUUGAGCGCAAUUAGUUAGCACUUGAUAGUGUUGAGGUACCUUUAUCUUCUCUUAUACAAUCCACAGUCCUUUGCCCAGGACAUGAUACCACACACAGUGAACCAGCCUUCCUGGAUAGAAUCAAGAAUGUGAUCCAUGGGUGUGACCAUAGGUCAAUGUGAUUUACACAUUCUCACUGGGAUGCCCUUCUUUGGGGAUUCCAGUUUUGUACACAGUGGACAGUUAACAGGCAGUCUAUCCACCACAGAGCAUGAAGCUCCUUUUAUGUGGGCUUUGGCUAUGACAUUUCAGCUAGCUCUUGUUACUCUGGGGUUAGAAUUUCAACAUAAUUUUUGGUGAAACAAAAUAAUUUUACUAUAACAUAUAUAAUAUAUAACAUAUGGUAAGACAAACAAACAAAAUCCCAUGAGGAGUGAUGAGGGUUGUACUACUAAUGCUCUAAUCAAUUACUACUGUUAGUACAAAGCCCAGUUGUUUCUCUGAUAAUUAUGGCCCAUUUAUUUUAUCUUGCCACCUUUGUGUGUGAGUGUGUGUGAGUGUGGGAUGUGUGUGUGUGUGUGUGUGUGUGUGUGUGUGUGUGUGUGUGAAUAUGAAAUGUUCCUAACAGUAUUAUGUAUUCAGCAUGUAGUCUUUAGGUGGUGGCUACAUUUUGGAAGGUUGCCAAACAUUUCAGAAUCAGAUUUGGCCCUUUAUUUAUGAGAGAGUGUAGGUCAAGAGCAUGCUUUAGAUAGUCACCAUUGGAGGCUGUUUCUCUUUUUUCUCUGCUUCCUGGCAGUUGCAAGGUGAAUAUGUAUGGAAUCAAGCAAACACAACCUGACUUCCUGAGUCAAAAUAAAAAAUUCAUCAUAAAGCUGUGUGGUCUCAGGAUUUUGGUCGCAUUGACGCAAAAGUUAUGAACACACUAAUAUGGCUUAUUGAAUUGAUUUUCCUUCCUGUCAUUUGCAAUUAUCACUCAUUUAACAUAUGCCUAAUUGCCACACAGAAAUAUUUCAAUCAUCUAAUUGGGUAGUGUGCUUCAUACAGUAAUAUACGAUCGUG